CACGCCCACGGGCGGACAGGUUUCGCCUCCGCUCCCAAGCUUCCGCCGUCCGGCCCGCGCAGAGAUGGGGUCUCUCACUGCGUUGCCCAGGCUGCUCUGGAACUCCUGGCCUCAAGUGCUGGGAUUCCAGGCGUGAACCACCACGCCCGGCUGAGAUGUUCCUUUUCCUUGGAACUUGAUCAACACAAAAUCCUGAGGCCUGGUGUGGGUGUGUUCCUCUGGGGCAGAUUCUCAACUGGGGACACUUCUGCCCCCAAGGACACAUUUCAACAUCCUGAGACAUUUCCGGGUGUCAUCACAGUGUGCACGCACGUGUAUGUACCUGCACACGCUACUGGCACCUCGCGGAUAGAGCCCAGGGACGCUGCUCACAUCCUGCACGGAGACUGACCCGCCCAGCGUCCUAGGGCAGGCUCCAGGCAGGGUCUGCAUGUGCCUCUGCCAGCCACCUAGACCCUGCCAGCCGGGGCCUUUAAAUUCUCCCCUCGUGGUCUCCAGGGCCACUCACUAGCCUGAUUUCAAGCUGUAAACUGGGAGGACCUAUUUCUUUUCACCUUGCACGGAACACCAAGGCUGAAAGGCAGUUUUUCCGGAGGUGCCAGCCUGUCUCACAUUUCCGCUUCAG
rnacentral:lncRNA from 10 species